UCCAAAUUUGAUUUGAUGUAAUUGGAAAGUGGUAGCAGUAGGAUGGUGAAAAGUGAGGCCCCACGCGCUCUCAACAAAGCCUGAAUGUCACUCGACGGUCUUAUUAGCGUCGGGCUUGGGCAUGUCUCACAAUUGGCUAAUGUAUGGCUACAGCACAUUCCCUUUUCUACAGUGUCUCAAAAGAGGAGUUGUGUUAGAGUGGGGCUAAUACCGCUUUGCACUUGGA
rnacentral:lncRNA from 1 species